rfam:Stegodyphus mimosarum contig81800, whole genome shotgun sequence.
GCCUUCGUGGUGUAAUGGUCAGCACACUGAGCCGGUAUUUCAGAGGUCCGCGGUUCGAUUCCCGGCGAAGGCG